rnacentral:rRNA from 1 species
GGAAUCUUGCGCAAUGGGCGAAAGCCUGACGCAGCAACGCCGCGUGCGGGAAGAAGGCUUUCGGGCUGUAAACCGCUUUCAGCAGGAACGAAAAUGACGGUACCUGCAGAAGAAGGAGCGGCCAACUAUGUGCCAGCAGCCGCGGUGAUACAUAGGCUUCAAGCGUUGUCCGGAUUUAUUGGGCGUAAAGAGUUCGUAGGCGGUUAAGUAAGUCGGGUGUGAAAAUUCUGGGCUCAACCCAGAGACGCCACUCGAUACUGCUUGACUUGAGUUCGAUAGGGGAGUGGGGAAUUCCUAGUGUAGCGGUGAAAUGCGCAGAUAUUAGGAGGAACACCGGUGGCGAAGGCGCCACUCUGGAUCGAUACUGACGCUGAGGAACGAAAGCAUGGGUAGCAAACAGGAUUAGAUACCCUGGUAGUCCAUGCCGUAAACGGUGGGCACUAGGUGUGGGUUUCUAUUAACGGAAUCCGCGCCGUCGCUAACGCAUUAAGUGCCCCGCCUGGGGAGUACGGUCGCAAGACUAAAACUCAAAUGAAUUGACGG